UACGGAGGGUGCAAGCGUUAUCCGGAUUCACUGGGUUUAAAGGGUGCGUAGGCGGGCAGGUAAGUCCGUGGUGAAAUCUCUGUGCUUAACUCAGAAACUGCCAUGGAUACUAUUUGUCUUGAAUAUUGUGGAGGUAAGCGGAAUAUGUCAUGUAGCGGUGAAAUGCUUAGAUAUGACAUAGAACACCAAUUGCGAAGGCAGCUUACUACACAGUUAUUGACGCUGAGGCACGAAAGCGUGGGGAUCAAACAGG
rnacentral:rRNA from 1 species